rnacentral:rRNA from 1 species
AGAGUUUGAUCCUGGCUCAGAUUGAACGCUGGCGACGUGCUUAACACAUGCAAGUCGUGCGAGAAAGUAGACUUCGGUCUAUGAGUAGAGCGGCGCACGGGUGAGUAACGCGUGGAUGAUCUACCCUUGAGUUCGGGAUAACGGUGCGAAAGCGCCGCUAAUACCGUAUAACAAUCCAUUUCAUCGUGGGUUCAAAGCAGGCCUCUUCGUGAAAGCUUGCGCUUGGGGAUGAGUCCGCGUCCCAUUAGCUUGUUGGCGGGGUAACGGCCCACCAAGGCUACGAUGGGUAGCUGGUCUGAGAGGAUGAUCAGCCACACUGGAACUGAAACACGGUCCAGACUCCUACGGGAGGCAGCAGUGGGGAAUAUUGCGCAAUGGGGGAAACCCUGACGCAGCGACGUCGUGUGAGGGAAGAAGGCCUUCG